CGUAAGUUAGGUGGGCUGUGGUGGGCUUCUUCGGCCACGGUGAUGAAGACGAUGGGCCUGCAGCCUCGGACGAGUCGUGAAAUCCUCCUCCUCUGCGCGCGGGGCGAGCGGCGAGCGGCGAGCAGCGCCAGUCCGCCGACCGCCGUCGCCGCCGACGGAGAUGGGGCAGAUGUGCGACGGAGCAUCUCCCUCCGCGGUACGGUCUCGCCGCCGCUACGUCUCCUUUGUACCAGUUGUUUCUUCGAUUUGGGGGAAAGCAUAUUUUGUUAUUCCACAAAAUGUUAGCAGAUGCGCCGCUGAGGACGAUGCGAAUCGCUCGAGAUACUGAGGGAUCCUUGGGGGCUAGCCCGGAUGCUCGCAAGCGUGAGAUUUGUGGGAUGCGUCGUGCUCUCCGGUAGAUUAUUCGAUUGGAAACCGUCGCCAUUUUGUUGUUCGUUAAAAGGAAAAAUAGAUUUGAACAUAUUAGGUUUUUCUUUUCCUACUAUUUUUGUCAGUACUUUGUUCGAGGGAAAGAAUGCUGUAUUUAUGGUUCAUCGUUCACUGAACAAGCGAAUCGUAAGAUUGGCAGUGUUAACUUCGUUGGGCAUUUGGGCCUAACUCAUAGUACAGUAAUACUAUAGUCUUACUGGAAACAAACAAGACACCAGUUCAUACCAUUGAGCUUGCUCUGAUCUAUCUUUGUACCAGGGAGAAAGUUACUUGUCAGGUGCUCAAAGCAGCGCUACAGAUGGUUUUGAUUUCUACAGUGAAUGGAAGGCAUUUGUGCUAUUUGAUUUCUACAGUCGCAAUGGAAGGCUUCUUGUUGUGUAUUGUUUUUUUUCAUAUAUCCCAUGCAGUGUGUCAUUGGAUUGGAUGCCAUUUCACGAUGAACAGAAUUGAAGGUUCAGACUUCAGACAACUACUGAAGGGAACCUCUCAGGUUUACAUCAAACCUAUCUUCAUGUCAAGAGUUAAUUGGCUGGUGCACUGCUUGUUGUAAAGCUUAUUCUGUCCAGCUUCUUGCAGUUACCUUGCUUCUUGUGACGACUUGUGAGGCUUGGCACAUGCACACAACAACUACUUGUGAAGCUAAUCCAACUCUACUUAGCUGGUUAUUACCAUCGACUUGCCUUGACCUGUUCACCAAAGUUUGCCUUUGGCAGAUGGAAUGGCCUAUAAAUCGCAACUAACUGCAGCAGCAGCAACAACUGUAGAUGAAGAAAGAGAGACAAUCAAACAUGCUCAUCCGUUAUCUUCCUUCAGUGAUUGGUCCAAAUGGAAAAGCUAGGAGACAGAAAAUUUAGGCUAGACUUUGUAGUGGGCACUGAUGAGAUCAAUUAUUAUAUUCUUAUCCAAAAGCAAAUUUGUCUGAUUUUGAUCACAAAUUUGGACCACUCGAUCAUGAGUUCAUGACCAAGGGAUGUAAAAUAUCAACUUCAAUUAGCAUCUUCGCCGACAUCAGAAAACCCUUUCACACACGGAGUUGCACAGUGCAGAGCAUGGGCCAUGGCCAACAACAAAACAGAAGUCCAAGAAGGAUGCGGAGGAUUUGGAGAGGAGGCAAGAAGAAGUGAGGGAGUCAACGCAAACAGUCAAAAAUGCAAGUAUAGGCGUCAGAAUUUUUUGAAACGAGACAAGCGUAGGAAUUGACUGAAUGACGCUCAGUGUGAGGUUGCAACUGUGCUAAUGCUGGAACACCGAAAUCUGUAGUUUGUGCAACUACCUGGUAUAAACUAUUUUUUUCUUUUACUUGAGAUCAAGUUGUUUUUUCUUUCCUUCCACAUGUAUGUUGAUUUUCUUUGAAACAUCUGAUUUGAAAUAUGAGUGCACAUGACAAUGUGUUUAGAGUGUUUAGCCAUGCCUUAA